rnacentral:rRNA from 1 species
GACGAACGCUGGCUGCGUGCUUAACACAUGCAAGUCGAACGCUGAAGCCCGCAGCUUGCUGUGGGUGGACGAGUGGCGAACGGGUGAGUAACACGUGAGUAACCUGCCCCUGACUUCGGGAUAAGCCCGGGAAACUGGGUCUAAUAGCGGAUACGACCACCGGACGCCUGUAUGGCGGUGGAAAGUUUUUUCGGGUGGGAGAUGGGCGGGAGGGCUAUCAGUUUGUUGGUGAGGUAAUGGCAGACGAAGACGACGGCGGGUAGCCGGCCUGGGGACGGGGACGGCGACACUGGGACUAAGAGACGACCCAGACGGCAACGGGAGGCAGUGGUGGGAAGUAUGACGCAAUGGGGGAAACCGUGUUGAAGCGACGCAGCGUGCGGGAUAACCGCCUUCGGGUUAUAAACCGCUGUCAGCGGGGAAGAAGCGAAAGUGACGGUAUCUGCAGAAAAAGUACCGGCUAACUACGUGCCAGCCGCCGCAGUAA